UAAACUACGAUUAGAUACCCUAUUAUUUUAAAUGUGAAGUGUUUACACUUGAGUAGUAAAAGUUAUGGUCUUGAAACUCAAAGAAUUUGGCGGUGUUUUAGUCUUUUCAGAGGAACCUGUCCCAUGAUCGAUAUUCCACGAUAGACCUCACUUAAUCUAGUUAUCAGUUUAUAUAUCGCCGUCGUCAGAGUGUCUUAUAAGAGUUUCAACAUUCUUUAAUCUAAAUUAUCUGUAGAAAGAUGUCAGGUCAAGGUGUAGCUAAUGGUUAAGUGGAGAUGGGUUACAAUAAGUUUAUUUACUACGGAUGGUUUAUUGAAAUUAUAGACUUGAAGGUGGAUUUGAAAGUAAUUUUAUAUAGAAUAAUAUAUUGAUUUAGGCUCUAAAACAUGCACACAUCGCCCGUCGCUCUUA
rnacentral:rRNA from 1 species